GGAGUUGUGGCUCAGUGGUAGAACACUCACCUAGCAUGUGUGAGACCCUGGGUUCAAUCCUCAGCACCA
rnacentral:tRNA from 1 species